ensembl:lncRNA
GGACAGCCCCUGGCCCCGCGUCGGGCCGCUGCGCGCGGAGGAGGCGGCUCCAAGUGUCAGCGGUAGCAAGGGGAGCAGCAGCAAGAGAUUCAGGCCAAGGCCCAACUUCGUAUUUCCAGAGACAGGCCCGCAUCAGCCACAAACAGGGAUGGUGCCGUCACUUACCUGGACAGUGGGACCAGAGGCGGGAGACGUAAGGAACCGGUUUCUGCGGAAGAAACUGGCCUUGGCAAAGGGGUAGAGAGUGAUAAGAAGAGCGAAGGAAUGCCAGGCCUGACAGACCCGAAACCUUCAAGAUGCUUGAAUGAGCUGAAAGACAUGCGGGUUAUCCCUCCCUCCUGGGGAGGAUCCAGAGCGCUGGGGAUCCCAGCCGCCCAUGGGCAUGAAAUCUAAAUACUCAUCUAGCCAUCCCUGGAGGAACCUAACCUUGCUUUGUCACCUUUGGGUACAGAACAUAUCUGGUGAUGACCUGGAAGGGCGUUGGACUAAAAUCUCAGAUCCUCCCCCUCUGCAUUUGCCCAGCCUUGAUGAAUGUUGGGUUGGACCCUGACUUGCUGACUCUGCUAUGUAAAGCUCUCCUCUGAGGCUUCCAGACCUCCAUUUCUAAACAUAGUACUGGACAAAACAGUCCACAUUUCUUUUCCUCUUUUGUUCCUGAAACUUUACAC